AAAAAAAAAAAAAAAAAAAAAAAAAAAAAAAAAAAAAAAAAAAAACAAAUGAGAAAAAAGAGAAGCAAAUAGAAUAUAUUGAAUGACGUAGUCGGAUGUUGAAGCUUUUUUCCCUCAUGAGGUGAGCCAUAAUUGUGACAACUUGGAUCGUUAAUGAUUUGAGUGUCACUAAAAUUUAAAUUAAACUUAAAUAAAAAGGUUGAAAUAAAUAAAUGGGAUUUUUAUAAAAAUAAUUAUGAUUCAACAUUAUUCAUAAUAAGUGUAUUUUAAAGAAAAUACGUUUGACAUAAGAAAAUCUUGAAAUGAAUUCAACAUAAAAUAAAUAAAAUUCGACAUAAUUUCAUGAAAUUAUUUUAAAUAUCCCUCAUCUUUGCAUCAACCGCAUUGAAUCAAUAAUUUUCUAAAAAAGGAAAAAAAGAACAUAAUGUGAGAUAAAAAUCUCAAUAAGUGUGCGUGAGUAAAUUUUGUUCACGUAUAUGCAUCUUAUGAAUCUUUGCAUCGACCGCAUCGAAUCAUUAAUUUUUUGAAAGAGGAAAAAAGAACAUAAUGUGAGAUGAAAAUCUCAAUAAGUGUGUGUGAAUAAAUUUUGUUCAUGUAUAUGCAUUUUAUGGAAAUUUUAUACUUGCAUAGGGAGACUACGAAAAUUGGACUUAACUUAGCCCCCGUUUGGCCACCAUUAUUUCUCAUUAAAUUAUAAUUUAUUUUUCUAUCUUCUUAUCAAUCACACGUUUUCUAUUAAAA
rnacentral:lncRNA from 1 species